rnacentral:rRNA from 1 species
UACGAAGGGGGCUAGCGUUGUUCGGAAUUACUGGGCGUAAAGCGCACGUAGGCGGAUCGAUCAGUCAGGGGUGAAAUCCUAGAGCUCAACUCCAGAACUGCCUUUGAUACUGAAAGUCUUGAGUAUGGGAGAGGUGAGUGGAACUGCGAGUGUAGAGGUGAAAUUCGUAGAUAUUCGCAAGAACACCAGUGGCGAAGGCGGCUCACUGGCCCAUAACUGACGCUGAGGCACGAAAGCGUGGGGAGCAAACAGG